rnacentral:rRNA from 1 species
AUGUUAAGUGUGUUCUUGAUGCUAUCCUUAACUCCGUCCUCCGUAUUGGGACUAAACAUGAGGGCUGAUUUCUCUACAUUGAUACACUGGCCCGAACAUUCCUCAUACAGCUUGAGUAUGUCACGUAGUGCCUCGGCUUCCUGUUGCUUCGCUUUCAUCAAUAACAUGGAGUCGUCCGCAAAAAACAGAUGGGAUACACAUGGUGCUCUCGGGCAUUACCUUGAUCCCACUGAUCCUCCCUCUCUGCUCCGCAUCGUUGAGCAGGGCAGACAGACCCUCAGCACAUAUCACAAACAGGUAAGGUGA